GGAGAGGUGCCAGAGUGGUUGAUCGGGACGGUCUCGAAAACCGUUUCCCGCUUAAAAGCGGGACGUGGGUUCGAAUCCCACCCUCUCCGCCA
rnacentral:tRNA from 2 species